GAUGAAGAACGUAGCGAAAUGCGAUAAGUAGUGUGAAUCGCAGAAUUCAGUGAAUCAUCGAAUCUUUGAACGCACAUUGCGCCCUUUGGUAUUCCUUAGGGCAUGCCUGUUCGAGCGUCAUUUAAACCUUCAAGCUCAGCUUGGUGAUGGGUGACUGUCCUCCCCUCGCGGGGGGACUCGCCUCAAAAACAUUGGCGGCCGGUACAUUGGCUUCGAGCGCAGCAGAAACGCGGUCUCGAGCCCGGUGGAUCGGCUCCCAUAAGUCUAUUCUUUUAUUUUGACCUCGGAUCAGGUAGGGAUACCCGCUGAACUUAAGCAUAUCAAUAAGCGGAGGA
rnacentral:misc_RNA from 1 species